rnacentral:rRNA from 1 species
UACGGGGGGGGGCAAGCGUUGUUCGGAAUUACUGGGCGUAAAGGGCUCGUAGGUGGCCAACUAAGUCAGACGUGAAAUCCCCAGGCUUAACCUGGGAACUGCGUCUGAUACUGGAUGGCUAGAGUUUGGGAGAGGGAUGCGGAAUUCCGGGUGUAGAGGUGAAAUGCGUAGAGAUCGGGAGGAACAUCAGUGGCGAAGGCGGCCAUCUGGGACAACACUGACGCUGAGGCACGAAAGCGUGGGGAGCAAACAGG